rnacentral:lncRNA from 1 species
ACAAAGUUUAUCCCUAAUCACUCCACCUAUCCUCAUCAAUCCCGGAUUUCCUAGUGAGAUUCCAUCUAGAUUAAGCUUUAUACAUCCCAUCAUGGUCCUCCCCUUCUAUUCUUCUUUACACCCAUUCUCGAAAGUCUUUCCAUAUUUGCAAUUAAAUCCACUCGAAAUACCAGAGCAUUCCUUUGAGAUUGAUAUCUAGUUGAACAGGGAGUCUAAAUCCCUUUCCUUGAUUCUCCCCAUAUUUGGUCCCACUCCAUCAGAAACCCCCACUAUUUUCCUCUCUCCAUACUUCCAUAAAUUGCUGCCCUAAGGGCUUUCCUCAUAUGAGUGAAGGGGCAAUUCAUGGGAAGAUGAUC